rnacentral:rRNA from 1 species
UCGUUGUUUCCGAUGAUGGUGCAAUACAGGUGAUCGGACUGGCGAGAGUCUCUCUUGCCGGAAAGUUCACCGAUAUUUCUUCAUUAGAGGAAGUAA